CAAUGUUAGCCUUCUUCCUGCUGUUCCUGUGCAUGAAAGCAGCAUGAUUUUACAUUCUGUCUGAAACGCGAAAAAGUAUGGCAUGCCAUGUGGCUGAAUCUACAAGCAAUGGGCCAAAGACAGUCAUCACUCUCUUCAAUCCAGUGCUUUUGGACUCUGCUGAGUGAAGUACUGUACAUGAAACAUGAGUUAGAGAGUGAAUGAAUGAAGUGCCAUACCUGAAAGACAGGUGCGGAAAAACACAACUGCUGCCUAUCACUUCAGCCAGUAUUCUGAGACCUGAAAUCAUAACAGAUGACCAAAUAAAUCUAG